UUCUGUGACUCCUGCGAUUUCUGCAACUUACCACCGUAUGAAAAAGUUACAUCUGCCCACACAGAAAAUUGCAUCUCAACAAACCUGUCAUUGGUACCCGAACUACAUUUCAGUCACUCAGUAAAUUGAUAACUCAAAAUAUUAUUGUCACCAGAUCUGGAGAAAUUGCUACUGCGUCUUUAGACCGUUUUCGUCAUACGAGAGACACAGUUCUGACUCUUGAUUACUGGUUGCUGUACGUAUUUAUCCACAUCAAGGCUGUUGAGAGAGACUCGUGAAGAUUCAAGACAGCUCUUAGAGGAUUUGCAGUUUGAAAGUGACAUAAUUGUGAAAUAAGUGUGCAGAUGAGUGAUUAAACUGUGUUUUAUUGAAGUUGUUAUGCAAUUUUAAAGGAAUAAUAAAUGUUAAAUACAGUGAGUGAAUAAUGAAAAUCUCA